rnacentral:rRNA from 1 species
UACGAAGGGGGCUAGCGUUGUUCGGAAUUACUGGGCGUAAAGCGCACGUAGGCGGAUAUUUAAGUGAGGGGUGAAAUCCCAGGGCUCAACCCUGGAACUGCCUCUCAUACUGGGUAUCUCGAGUUCGAGAGAGGUGAGUGGAAUUGCGAGUGUAGAGGUGAAAUUCGUAGAUAUUCGCAGGAACACCAGUGGCGAAGGCGGCUCACUGGCUCGAUACUGACGCUGAGGUGCGAAAGCGUGGGUAGCAAACAGG